AAAAUUUUAAGUUAAANCAAACUAGUAAUUUUCAAAAUUAUAAUUAAACUUUUCAGUUUAAAUUUUA
rnacentral:tRNA from 1 species